rnacentral:tRNA from 1 species
GCCGAGAUAGCUCAGUUGGUAGAGCAGUGGACUGAAAAUCCACGUGUCCGGAGUUCAAGUCUCCGUCUUGGCA